CACAGUGAGUGCCGGUUUAAGUAC
rnacentral:siRNA from 1 species